rnacentral:rRNA from 1 species
GUAGGUGGCAAGCGUUGUCCGGAAUUAUUGGGCGUAAAGCGCGCGCAGGCGGUUCUUUAAGUCUGAUGUGAAAGCCCACGGGCUCAACCGUGGAGGGUCAUUGGAAACUGGAGAACUUGAGUACAGAAGAGGAAAGCGGAAUUCCACGUGUAGCGGUGAAAUGCGUAGAGAUGUGGAGGAACACCAGUGGCGAAGGCGGCUUUCUGGUCUGUAACUGACGCUGAGGCGCGAAAGCGUGGGGAGCAAACAGGAUUAGAUACCCUGGUAGUCCACGCCGUAAACGAUGAGUGCUAAGUGUUAGGGGGUUUCCGCCCCUUAGUGCUGCAGCUGACGCAUUAAGCACUCCGCCUGGGGAGUACGGCCGCAAGGCUG